CUGAGCUACCCAGGCACCCAAAAUAAAAAAUAUUUUUAAAAAAAACCUGUCGUACUAAAAAAAUUAAACGAAGCCGUCCUCUGCAUUUUGAAGGGCAGGAAUUGAACUUGCUUGUGAAAAAUAUUUUUAAAAAUCCUUAACUUGUCAUUUCUCUGUUUUUGCUGUUGUUAGUGGCACAAGAAGGGACUGGCCUUACUAUUCUGCAUAUUGCAGUUCUUGUCCAUGACCUGGUACAGCCUGUCAUACAUCCCGUAUGCAAGGGAUGCGGUAAUUAAAUGCUGUUCUUCUCUCUUAAGCUGAAAAUCAGAAACUCUUUGAAAAGAGCCUUGGAAAGUCGAUAUUCUGUUCACUCCCCAAACAGCUGCUGCGACAGGUUAUUAAGACCAUUUUGUGUACUGGUGGAAACUACAUGCUCGAUUCAACUGUUAAAUACUUGUAACGUGAAAUUCAUUAUGUCUCAUUAACGUGUUCUUCCCCAAAUAAGGCAUUUUUAAUCAUUGCCAAUUGUAAAUGAUUUUUAGCUCCUUUUUUAAUCCUUUCUAAAUAGCAUUUAAGAUGUGAAUAUUUAAGGAUAAACCUAUGCUGCAAGCUUUUUUAGCUCUUUAAAAAUGCCUACGUUUUUCUUUUUUCUUUUUUAAAAUUUUAAAUGUGAAAGUUUUUACUUUAAGCUAAAAAUUGCUUAUUAUAUGUAAUAAAAAUAAUAUAUAAAUCUUUACAAUUUUGAAAUAAACCCACACU